GGUCACCCGUUUCGGGGGGCUACAAUAUAGGCGGGCCACUGUUUCAGCGGUCCCGUCACAAGCAAACGGAAGACAGAAA
rfam:Pelagicola litorisediminis strain CECT 8287 genome assembly, contig: 0006